UUGGGAACAGGAGAAGCAAAACCUUGACUACAAUGUAAGGGGUGGAGGUUCAAGCUUCAGUUUUCACGAAAAUGCCAACCUGUUCAGAGAAGAGAUUCCGAGUGGAGAGCGUCUGAGCGCCCGUGAGUGCAGUGGGCUCUGAGGGACCCAAGGGUACUUUUAAAAUUCGGUAUCCGUGGCAUAAACAACUCCAGACAGUUGGAAUGCCAGCCACAAUCCAGCACUGAAGCUUCUCUUUGUUAGAAAUGAAACAUCUGCCCCUGCCCUGGAAGGGCUUCCUUACCUUCAGCGCUUGUGUGGGACGCGCCCUGGGACCUGCAGGCCCAGGCAUCAGACCAGGGGUAGGGAGGCCAAGGCCAAGGGUCUAGGUCCCGCCGCCCCUCCUAGCAGGCCGCUGGCCACCCCACGAGGGCACGUGCAUGCAGGAGGUGGCUCUGAGCAACGCCUCAGCUCAGCGCCAGAGCCCCACCGACAAGAGAAAACCCAGCACAUGCUCCCUCCUCUGCCAAGAAGCAGCGGGGCCAGGGCACCGGAAUUAGGCUCCCCCGGACGGGUCUACGCCUCCGAAUCCAGCCCUCCUAAGGAGAAUGCACGGUCCCAACCCCUGGUUAGCUGCUGCUCCCCGCACGCCUGCAGGGUAAGGCCUGGGACACACACAGGAAAGCAAGAGCUCAAGGGAGCGCCACUUGUUCUGGAGCAGGGAGCUAAGGAUCACGUGAGACUCGGGGAAUCCUUGACUGUCUGGUGCUGCUAUUUCAACACGGAGCCCAAUUUUUUUUUUUUUUUUUAAGAAAAGAGAGCACAUAAAACCCCACCAGAACAACCUCUCCUUGGCCACUAAGGACCUAUUUACAAUCACGUUCCAAUCGGUUCCUUGCUGGAGAACCUAUCUCUAGUGUUCAAGGUUGAACAGAGCUGAGGUCCUCGAUCAACUCAAUUGUGAAUUAAAUGGUAAUUUAAAAAGGAAAGAAAACGCUUCGAACUCCGUGUUCUCUAUUUUCUUCCAAACUCCAUGUUUUGGGGGUCAGUUUGUUUACCUAGCCCGUGUUUGAUUCUCAGGGAAGGGGAGAGGCAGGAGGCGAGUGAGCACACAGGGCAUUCGGGUUGGCCGCGGGGAAAGCAGGGUGGGGGAGCGCCACGCUGAGCCGCACAACCACCCCCACUCAGCCCUCACAGAAACAGCCCACAGAAAGGCACUUUCAUCAUGCUGAAUGACAGUUCCUGGGCCCGAGGAAAGCAUUUGUUUCAGAGCCUCUCCCGUAACAGAAUGACUAUUUCUAUGCGCCAGCCGCAGGGCCAGGAACCAGCUCAGCCAGACAGAACCUUGCUUUGUGAUGGGCUCUGGCGCGAUGUGAUCUCAGCUCACGCCACGCAGCCGUUGGCACCCACAAACGCAGCACACGUCCAUCCAGCAGCCAAGCAGACCCAGAGAGAGAUUCCGCUGCAGGUGGGAAGAGCCUUCUCACCUCCAGACAGGAAGGUGAAGAAGAGUGGGAUGCUAGAAAACUCUCCUCGACUCUUGCUAUAGACUUCGGAAGCCAGUUUUCCUACCCAGGUUUGGCUAGUUCUGAGACCAGAUCUUGGCCAGAGCAGAAGAGUUAGCUCCACUGUUGGGUAAGAAUUUGGGGAAGAUAUAAUCACGGAAGUUCCUGAGAAGGCUGUCAUGGCCUCCUACCAACUCCCCCAGGUAAAAUGAUGGCCUGUCAGUGGCAACAGUAGCUGACAAGUCAUCCCUGCCUUGGAAUCCUAAGGCUCUGGGGGGCCAACCAAACUACUCAAGGAGGCCACAUGCCCAGGGGCAGCCCUGCUGAACGCUCGUGGCAAACCAGAACGGCCGGCCCAGCUGCAUCUCCAGAAUGGAAGUGCAUCUCACGGCUGGACGGCAGGCAGGGCCACCCCAAGGCCACGGGACCAUGGUCUCUAUUCUCUCCCCUCUCCCCACUUCCAUUCCAAUCCCUCUUUUUGCAGUGCUUGGGUAAUAGUCCAUAUGGCCUGAUAGAAAAGUAACAACUCAUAAAUCGUUCCUAAGUGCUCAUGAUGAGCCCACCAGGAAAGUGGGGGCAGGAUGGUGCAGACACAUUCAGGAAGACAAGCAAGCUCGGGCUCGAGUCCCCUAACUGACCUGACCUCAAAUUCCUCUUUAGUACAACGGGAACAAUCAUGCUCACACCUCAUAAAACUGUGGAGACUUAAAAUACAAUAACACAUAUAAAGAGCACAGAGGGGGCCUGCGAGAUAGCAGUAGCCAAAUAAAUAUAUUUCUUCUUAAGAGUCACAUAUAAUAUAAUAAAAUAGACCUUAUAGUAUCCUGAGCUUAAAACUUCUCAGUGAGUCCACAUCCAUUUCCACCAAACUCUGAUCCAAACUCUCCUUUUAGGUCCCAGCCCCGAGGCACCUUGCAACAACUCUACGUUGCCCAAACACGCCAUAAAAUCUGUGCCCUUAUGCUUUUGCUGCUCCUUGUGCUUGUGCGGCCCUGCUAUACCGUACAGUCGUCAGGACCCGGCCUUUCCAAGAACCCUUAAUUCUCCAAUCCUCACCCCCACUCACCAAAAUCAGUCCCAAGUGACUUUCUUCUGGGGUCUCACAGCAUUUUGCACUUAGCCAUCUUAGAGCAUGUACUACCCAUGAGUAUGAUAACUACCGCUGCACCUGUUUCUUCCCCUGUACGUGGAGCUUCUUGGUCUUGUGUAUCUUGCUGAUUCUCAGUCCCUAGCAGUGCUUACAGCGCAUGGCAAAUGCUUAAUAUCCUUGCAUACAGGAAGGAAUAAAAGGAACAACCAAAUGAAUGAAGCUGAAAGAAAUGAGAUCUAGAAAACAAGAAACCACCUCUUCUAGGCCUGUACAGUCAGUCUACAUCUAGUUAAUUUGAAAGGCAAAUGCCCAGAGUGACUUCUGUAGACCGGGAAAUAGUUACCCACACGGCAACAAUAGCAAGCAGUAACCAUGGUUUUUAAUUCCUACGGCGUCCACAGAAACCUUCCUAUUUACCAUGCUGAUAGUCACAAAUCCUAUAAGCUCUUCUGGAAGAAACGGAGAAUUCUAUAUACCCUUUCAGGCAACACUUUGCAAAACACACACCAGACAAAGAUGGGAGUGUGGGAGAUACCAGAAUUCUACAAGCGAACGUUUGAAAUAUGUUUUUUUUAAACCCACUGAAGUUGGAGGGAAUGAAAAAAAACAAGAAAGAAUAAAGCCAUCCAGUUAAAAGGAGUCUUCCUGAAUAUCAAAAACGUUAAAGGUUCAGAGAGCCUUGAAAGGAAAGCUCACGGGUUCACUACAUUGUCAUGAAGCUUGGGGACUGUGGUGACCUUCAGAUGUUAUGGGAUUGAAUUCCUGGCCUCUAGAAAAAGAGGUCCCUACAGCACCACCUUCCUUUACUGAUUUAAAUAGGGCUUGUCAUGACAAAAGAAACCUAGUAACUGUUCCAAGAGCUCUUUCUUAUAUAUCUGUGCUUUACUUUGCUGAUGCAGAAAUAACACAGCCACUUCCCCUCACAGUAACUUCAGUGGAUAUUUAAAAAAAAAAAAAAAAAUGUUAAAUUAGGCCUUCAUCAUUCCCUAAUAAUUUCCUUUCAAGGGAAAAGAAGGUACUCUAUUGUUAGAAAAUGCUUAUGCUCGUGGUACAAUUAUAGUGCGUGAAAAAUAGAUGUUUAUCUUAUCACGUCGGAGCCUAACAUUACUGUAAAUGGCUUUCUUGGUGGCUCAUCAUAUGUUGGACCUCAGGUUAUCCAGUUAGGUCACAUCUUUGCAAGAACUUUCCAAGGAUUACCUAUUUCUGACAUUCCAUAGUACCAAAAAACCUGAACACUGGAAGAGACUCCACUCCUCUAGUAAUGAAGACUGAAAGAUUAUGAUUAUUUGUUAAUCACAGGAUUUUUAAAAAUAGAGUGCAUCUAUCUCUAAUUACAACAUCAACUUAGAGAUGUAUUUAAAUGGACCUCAUGCUUAGCACAGCACGUGGUAAAUACUAUUUGGUUCUGAUAAUGGAAGGGGAGAGAAAAAGAAGGAAAUUAUGGCUCAUGUGUGAUUAAUCUUACUUUAAUAAAAAUAAGGAAGAGUCUGAUAAUGGUGAAGGCUGACUAGGAGCAAAGUAGAACUAUACAUGCCAGAGAGAGAGAGAGAGAGAGAGAGAGAGAGACAGAGAAAGAGAGAGAGGGAACAUUUUUAGACAGGAAGAGAUACAAAAGAAUAGAAGCAGAGAGAAGACCAAUAUUACCACCAGACACAGGCUCACAGUAUUAAUUCAAGAAGAGCCCAAAUUCAGGCAUGCUUUUUUCUCUUCUGUUUUCUGUAAUAAUCUCACCAUGAAGACCUUCAAAAUUAAUUGAUAUCUGCAACAGGAGUGUGCAUAACCAUACACCUCAGCGAGGAACAUUACAUACUGACUCAACCUCCCACGCAGGUGUCCAGGGUCAGAACUAAUCUAACAGAUGCACUCGGGGCUGGCGUUCAUGCAUUUCAAAUAGGUUAGUCAGCUCGGCUCCCGAAAACAAGAACAUCUUGCAUCACAAGGUGCUUUUUUGCAUUCUGCUUCUGCUUUUUUGCUCUUUAAAUCCAGAGCUGCCUAUAAAAGACAGCAACAUCAGGAUAUUUGAAAGCACAGCCGCCAAAGCAUUCGGAGUUGAAGGUAAAGAUUUGAAGAUGAAAAGCACAGUAGCAGGAGACGCCCCUCAGCUCUGUCCAGAUGGCGAGCUCCCCGAGGGCAAGCUCCAGCCUGCCCCUGAUUUGAAAGGGCAAGGUAGAGAGCAGCCCGUAAAUUGCUUCAUCUCCCUGCUGUUACUUUGACACAGAUCCUGCAGGGUCAAGUAGGAGACUGCAGAUCAAUCAGGAGGACCACAAGGUGACGAAGAAUGUGAACAAGCCAAGGCACAGUCACCGAGACAGGUGCCUCACCACGCACGUGAAAUUCAUGGGAGACAUGGUCCAAGAGGCGUGCAGCUUCGCCCCAUACCAGCGGCCCGCCAUGGGGCUGCUCAAAGUCUCCAGGGACAAACACACCCUCAAGUUCACCAAGCAAAGGUUGGAGACUCACAUCCAUGGCAAGAGGAAGAGAGGAGCUGAUCAACAUCCUGCAGCCACAAGUAAAGCAGCCGUCAAGAAGGACUGAACCCCUCCCCUCUGUAGUUGAUUAGUUCAUUGGACGAAGAGUCAUUGCUAUGAGAACGGGAGCAGCACAGCAGGGGAAGGAGAACCACGGCCUCCCAGAAUUCAUAACACAGGCCUUAUAGUCCGCCGCCUCCUCUCCCACCUCCACGAGCCCGCACCAUGAACGGCUCGAAACUCUACUGGCUCCAACUGUUGGGACGCGGUGUCCUUACGUUGAUUUAAACUGCCUCCCUGAAGCAUUAGACCUGGCACCGUCCUCCAGAACACGACGGACCGAGGCCGAGAGACCUGCAGAGACCUGCCUACGUCAACAUCACGGCUUUGUUUCGUUCUGGGAGCCGUGUCCAUUGUCUAAAUCUCUUUUCCCCUCAUGUCAGAGAGAAGGGGAAAGACAGAUGCGCUUCCUUCCUAAAAGUUGUGUGGAUUUGUCCUGACUUGAAGGACACCAAAGGUGUCCCGGGUUAAGGCAGCACUAAAACACUGUAGUAGUUUGCUCGAGGAGAAAUUCAAUAAAGUCACCCAGUAUGAAGGGCUUUGGGAACAACCUCAAAGGAUGGUUCCCAAACAUUAACUAAAAAGCAGGCAGCCCUUGGGUUUAUGUUCAUACUCGUUCUUUAUCGACACAAAUGUGCCAACGCAAGUUUUGUUUUGUGUUGUUCAUUGAAAUAUAAUUCGCGUGCCACAAAAUUCACCCCUUUAACGAAAAGGCACAUUCUGCUGUCACUGGAACCUUUACAAGAUUGGACCAUCAUCACCAGAAUCUAAUUUUAAGAUUUUCAUCACACCAAAAGGAAACUCUGUACCCAUUAGCAGUCACUCCGCACUCUCCGGGUCUUUGUAGCUCUGUUUUAGACAUUUCAUAUAAACAGAAGCAUACAGUACGUAGCUUGUUGAGUAACAUUUUUCUUCCACUUAGUAUGUUUUCAAGAGUCAUCCAUAUGUGGCUUUCAUGACUGAGUAAUAUUCCACUGCAUAGAUUAACCACAUUCUUUGUAUCGAUUCAUCCAUAGGACAGACAUUCGGGUUGUUUCCACUUUUUUCACAAUUAUGAAUGCUGCUAUGAACAUUCAUAUACGAGUUUUAGGUGGAUAUGUGUUUCCAUUUCUCCUUUCAUUUCAUAUUCCACCUGGGAGAGGAAUUUCUGGGUCAGAGAGUAACUCUAUAGGGUCAAAAUUUUUGAAGAACUGACACUUUCUCAAGGCAGCUGCACCACAUUACAUUCCCACCAGCAAUGUAUGAGGGUUCCAGUUUCUCCGCACCCUUGUGACUUCUCUUCUUUAUGAUAACCGUCCUCGUAAGUAUGCAGUGGUAUUUCUUUGUGAUGUGGAUUUUUAUCUCAGGAGAAGUUGGCUUUGUUUGCUUGUUUGUUUGUUGGGAGAGAAAGUGUGGGGGCGGAGGGAGAGAGAGAAUUUUAAGCAGGUCCC